UGGUGCUCACUCCCGGUCUGGGCAGGAAGUGGGGGAUCCAGCCGCUUCCUUGCUGUGGGCUGGCUGACGGCGCUUCCCGGCGUGCCCUGUGCUGCGGCCGGAAGGGGCGGGUCGGGUUACUGUUGCAGGGGCCGCCAUGGCCCGGCUGUGGGGCACGCUGAGUCUUGGGCCGCUGUGGGCGGCAGUGCCGUGGGCAGGGGCGGCAGCCGUCGGUGCUCGGGCCUGCAGCUCCACGGCCGCCCCAGACGGCGUCGAGGGCCCUGCGCUUCGGCGCUCCUAUUGGCGCCACCUGAGGCGCCUGGUACUGGGUCCUUCCGAACCGCCGUUCCCGCACGUGUGCCAGGUCGGGGACCCUGUGCUGCGGGGCGUGGCGGCCCCGGUAGAGCGGGCGCAGCUGGGCGGGCCCGAGCUGCAGCGGCUCACGCAGCGGCUGGUCCAGGUGAUGCGGCGGCGGCGCUGCGUGGGCCUAAGCGCGCCGCAGCUGGGGGUGCCGCGGCAGGUGCUGGCGCUGGAGCUCCCCGAGGCGCUGUGUCGGGAGUGCCCGCCGCGUCAGCGCGCGCUUCGACAGAUGGAGCCCUUCCCCUUGCGCGUGUUCGUGAACCCCAGCCUGCGGGUGCUGGACAGCCGCCUAGUCACCUUCCCCGAGGGCUGCGAGAGCGUCGCCGGCUUCCUGGCCUGCGUGCCCCGCUUCCAGGCGGUGCAGAUCUCAGGGCUGGACCCCAAUGGAGAACAGGUGGUGUGGCAGGCAAGCGGGUGGGCAGCCCGCAUCAUCCAGCACGAGAUGGACCACCUGCAGGGCUGCCUGUUUAUUGACAAAAUGGACAGCAGGACAUUCACAAACGUCUGUUGGAUGGAGGUGAAUGACUAAAGCUUUGCUACUGGGGCUGAGGAUUCCGGAUACCAAAACGCACACACUUCCACUUUGAGCUGGGCACAUCUUACUUCGCAUCAACUUGAAUGGCUUGUGUAUGACAGGAAACUGGGCUGCUGAGGCAUGGCAGACUGAGCUGGAGGAAGAUGUCAGAAAUGUUUGCCCUGAAAUCAGCUAUGAACGGAAUGUUGUAUACAACUUGAGGAGAAAAAUCACCCCCAAAGGAGUGGACGUUUCCUGACAGUUUUGUAUGGAGGAAGGUGGGGUAACUGCAUUCGUCUGCAGUAGACGCGAGUUCCUCGGACCUGUAUAAUCUCCCAAAGCCAAGGUUUGGUAAUAAUGUAGCCCCUAAAUAUCUGAAAGCUGUCUUUAAAAAUGCAGGCCGAACGACGGCGAGAACUAUCUGGAUCCCAAACACCCCCAGCCAAACUUCUGAGGCCUUAAGGGGAGGAGGUCUUGCACACCUGACUGGAGAACAGGCCUGAGAACUGCAGCGUUCCUGUUUCCUGCUCUGCUUUAGAAGAGAGAGCAGAGAGAAAACCAGAGGGUCUUUUAAUUGGAGGUAAGGGUGGUCCUUCAGAGUCCCAGGCAAGAGUCAAAGAUGAGAUCACUCGGGUGGCUCAAGAAGGGAAAAGGAUUUAUUAGACCAUUUCCAGGACAGGGACCCGGGGGCAGUGGCUGGGUUCAGUGUUCUCACACUCAGGAAGAAAAGGCAGUGAACACCCGCCUGACUGCCUUCCCCUGAUCUGAACGACACCAUCUCCUCCCCCAAGGAAGACACAGCCCUGGAUGUGAACCUAGGAGGGUGGGAAUGGCUUAUGUCACUCAGUCUUUGAGGCAGAGCUUGGGCUGGGGUUGCAGGAACAUCAGCCAAUUUGCUCUCAGUGAGCAAAACUUGGGUGUAAAAGGAAUGGGCAGUGGAGCUGGCCAACUGUCUGGAGGUCUGGGUGACCUCGCAGCAUGGCUGCUCCCCCCGCCCCCCACUCCUUGACACUUCCAGGUGAUUUUAUCUUUAUUUAUAAACAAGACGAAAAUCCAAGCAGCAUUAAUUUAGGGGAACAAAA